rnacentral:rRNA from 1 species
AUUGAACGCUGGCGGCAGGCCUAACACAUGCAAGUCGAACGAGUGGCGGACGGGUGAGUAAUGUCUGGGAAACUGCCUGAUGGAGGGGGAUAACUACUGGAAACGGUAGCUAAUACCGCAUACCAUCGGAUGUGCCCAGAUGGGAUUAGCUAGUAGGUGGGGUAACGGCUCACCUAGGCGACGAUCCCUAGCUGGUCUUAGAGGAUGACCAGCCACACUGGAACUGAGACACGGUCCAGACUCCGACGGUAGGCAGCAGUGGGGAAUCUUGCACGAUGGGCGCAAGCCUGAUGCAGUCAUGCCGCGGGUAUGAAGAAGGCCUUCGGGUUGUAAAGUACUUUCAGCGGGGAGGCGUUACUCGCAGAAGAAGCACCGGCUAACUCCGUGCCAGCAGCCGCGGUAAUUC